CUAGGGUGAGGCGGUAAAACCGAUGUUUUUUGAAAACCGAAUUACUCGAUGUUACUUUUGGAGAAAGACCGGAAAACCGAAAAAAACGGAGGAAAACCGAAAUCGAACCAUACUUAUACGGGUCUGUUGCAAAUGAAUCAACUUUGGCAUUUACACACGAAAACUAAAGAGAUUUUGUUUAAAAUUUGAUAACAUCUUCAAAAUACCUUACGUUUAAUAUCAUUCUACAAUUUCGCGCGAGCUUGAGGUCUUGAACGGAUAAGCGGAUCAAACGAUGGUGAAUUUUGAUUCGCUGGUAAUAAAGGCGGACGUCUGCGAAGACAGGUUUAAGAUAUUCAUAUAGCGUGUUGUGUCUUUUUUAAACCGUAGUUUCGAUUUUCGAACAUAUUUUUAAAAAAAAACCCCGGUUCACUCGGUUUUUUCGGGGUUUUUUGGUCGGUUUUCGGUUUUUUGUAGAAACCGCCUCACACUAGGGAGAAUCUUUAUUCGUGGGAAGGC